rnacentral:rRNA from 1 species
GAGUGGCGAACGGGUGAGUAACACGCUGGGUAACCUGCCCAUCAGAAGGGGAUAACACUUGGAAACAGGUGCUAAUACCGUAUAACAAUCGAAACCGCAUGGUUUUGAUUUGAAAGGCGCUUUCGGGUGUCGCUGAUGGAUGGACCCGCGGUGCAUUAGCUAGUUGGUGAGGUAACGGCUCACCAAGGCCACGAUGCAUAGCCGACCUGAGAGGGUGAUCGGCCACAUUGGGACUGAGACACGGCCCAAACUCCUACGGGAGGCAGCAGUAGGGAAUCUUCGGCAAUGGACGAAAGUCUGACCGAGCAACGCCGCGUGAGUGAAGAAGGUUUUCGGAUCGUAAAACUCUGUUGUUAGAGAAGAACAAGGAUGAGAGUAACUGUUCAUCCCUUGACGGUAUCUAACCAGAAAGCCACGGCUAACUACGUGCCAGCAGCCGCGGUAAUACGUAGGUGGCAAGCGUUGUCCGGAUUUAUUGGGCGUAAAGCGAGCGCAGGCGGUUUCUUAAGUCUGAUGUGAAAGCCCCCGGCUCAACCGGGGAGGGUCAUUGGAAACUGGGAGACUUGAGUGCAGAAGAGGAGAGUGGAAUUCCAUGUGUAGCGGUGAAAUGCGUAGAUAUAUGGAGGAACACCAGUGGCGAAGGCGGCUCUCUGGUCUGUAACUGACGCUGAGGCUCGAAAGCGUGGGGAGCAAACAGGAUUAGAUACCCUGGUAGUCCACGCCGUAAACGAUGAGUGCUAAGUGUUGGAGGGUUUCCGCCCUUCAGUGCUGCAGCUAACGCAUUAAGCACUCCGCCUGGGGAGUACGACCGCAAGGUUGAAACUCAAAGGAAUUGACGGGGGCCCGCACAAGCGGUGGAGCAUGUGGUUUAAUUCGAAGCAACGCGAAGAACCUUACCAGGUCUUGACAUCCUUUGACCACUCUAGAGAUAGAGCUUCCCCUUCGGGGGCAAAGUGACAGGUGGUGCAUGGUUGUCGUCAGCUCGUGUCGUGAGAUGUUGGGUUAAGUCCCGCAACGAGCGCAACCCUUAUUGUUAGUUGCCAUCAUUCAGUUGGGCACUCUAGCAAGACUGCCGGUGACAAACCGGAGGAAGGUGGGGAUGACGUCAAAUCAUCAUGCCCCUUAUGACCUGGGCUACACACGUGCUACAAUGGGAAGUACAACGAGUCGCGAAGUCGCGAGGCUAAGCUAAUCUCUUAAAGCUUCUCUCAGUUCGGAUUGUAGGCUGCAACUCGCCUACAUGAAGCCGGAAUCGCUAGUAAUCGCGGAUCAGCACGCCGCGGUGAAUACGUUCCCGGGCCUUGUACACACCGCCCGUCACACCACGAGAGUUUGUAACACCCGAAGUCGGUGAGGUAACCUUU